AACGAACGCUGGCGGCAUGCCUAACACAUGCAAGUCGAACGAAGCCUUCGGGCUUAGUGGCGCACGGGUGCGUAACGCGUGGGAAUCUGCCCCUUGCUUCGGAAUAACAGUUAGAAAUGACUGCUAAUACCGGAUGAAGUCUUCGGACCAAAGAUUUAUCGGCACGGGAUGAGCCCGCGUAGGAUUAGGUAGUUGGUGGGGUAAAGGCCUACCAAGCCGACGAUCCUUAGCUGGUCUGAGAGGAUGAUCAGCCACACUGGGACUGAGACACGGCCCAGACUCCUACGGAAGGCAGCAGUGGGGAAUAUAGGACAAUGGACGCAAGUCUGAUCCAGCAAUGCCGGGUGAGUGAUGAAGGCCGUAGGGUUGUAAAGCUCUUUUACCAGGGAUGAUAAUGACGGUACCUGGAGAAUAAGCACCGGCUAACUCCGUG
rnacentral:rRNA from 1 species